AAGUAAAAAAAAAUACAGACGAGUAUCAUGGCAAAAUGUUAUGUAUAAAGGAGAAGUACUUGACAAAAGUAUAAAAUGUGAGAAAACAAAUUGUUACAUUUGUAUGCCUUAUUUAUUAUGUAUGUAAUACUCAUGUGUAAUAUAUAUAUAUAUAUAUAACAUAAAUUGAGAAAACUAUUAAUACAUAAAUGCAGAAAACCAUUACAUAAGCCAUUUACCAGUUACAUUUUCUAUGUAAAUGUUUAAUAUAGUAGCUAUGUGAUUACAGUACUUUGCAUUCAUAGCACUGAAUCGCACUGAAAGAGUUUU